CAGUAGCCGCGGUAAUACGUAGGUGGCAAGCGUUGUCCGGAAUUAUUGGGCGUAAAGGGCUCGCAGGCGGUUUCUUAAGUCUGAUGUGAAAGCCCCCGGCUCAACCGGGGAGGGUCAUUGGAAACUGGGAAACUUGAGUGCAGAAGAGGAGAGUGGAAUUCCACGUGUAGCGGUGAAAUGCGUAGAGAUGUGGAGGAACACCAGUGGCGAAGGCGACUCUCUGGUCUGUAACUGACGCUGAGGAGCGAAAGCGUGGGGAGCGAACAGGAUUAGAUACCCCGGUAGUCCCUGUCUCUUAUAU
rnacentral:rRNA from 1 species